AAUCAACGCUGGCGGCGUGCCUCAGACAUGCAAGUCGAACGAUUAAAGCUCUCUUCGGAGAGUGCAUAGAGUGGCGCACGGGUGAGUAACACGUAAGUAAUCUACCUUCGAGUGGGGAAUAACGUCCGGAACGGACGCUAAUACCGCAUAACGCAGCGGCAUCGCAAGAUGACAGUUGUUAAAGAUUUAUCGCCUGAAGAGGAGCUUGCGGCAGAUUAGCUUGUUGG
rnacentral:rRNA from 1 species